rnacentral:tRNA from 1 species
GGGUGUAUAGCUCAGCGGUAGAGCAUCUGACUUUUAAUCAGCUGGUCUUGGGUUCAAAUCCCAAUGCACCCA